rnacentral:rRNA from 1 species
UACGGGGGGGGGCAAGCGUUUGUUCGGAAUUACUGGGCGUAAAGGGCUCGUAGGUGGCCAACUAAGUCGGACGUGAAAUCCCCUCGGCUUAACCGGGGAACUGCGUCCGAUACUGGUUGGCUUGAGUUUGGGAGAGGGAUGCGGAAUUCCAGGUGUAGCGGUGAAAUGCGUAGAUAUCUGGAGGAACACCGGUGGUGAAGGCGGCAUCCUGGACCAAUAUUGACGCUGAGGAGCGAAAGCCAGGGGAGCAAACGGGG